UAGAGUCAGCAUGCUGACGACUUACCAAAGACAUUCAUUCUUGAAUGAUCAUAAUUUCAAUUGAAUAAAUAGCGAAGAUGAGAAUAAUAAUACGGUAUAACAAGACUAUUUCAAAGCCAAUGCCACCGCGGCAUAGGUCACCCAGUGCUACGGAAUAAAUCGACAGGAAAGAGAAAAGGAAAAGUGAAUUAAACAAACUCCUGAUUUCUCAUGAAAAAAAACAGUGAUCCCCUUGAUGAUGACGAGGAUGAUGAGCCCAACAAGCAUCCCCAAAGCAUUGAAAUGAUUUUCAAUAACGAUCAUAACACGGAUAUUUCGUAGUACAAACUACUUUACCAAAUCGGCAAAUGACUUUCGGAAUACCCCCAUCGACGGAGUCUGGUGAGCUUGAAGUACCUAGAGUUAUCAUGCACCAUAAAAUAACUUGGGACAGGGGAAUAGUAUUACGUGAACCAGUAAAUUGGGAUAUUAAUAGGCUAAAUCAUUCCAGCUAAUUAGAUUAAUGAAUAGAGAGGGCACUCACCAACAGUUGUGUAGCGCACAAAGGUCUCUUUAUUUUCAAUCAUCGAGUCCACAGCCAGUUUUUCGCAGUAUUGAGCUGUGAUUAUAGCUAUUGUUGGCUGUUUGGCACUUGCCAUCGUUGGCAUUUGUUUUACGACCUAAAAAUCGUGAAACGUAAAAGUACCUCACAAAUAGUUAAGGGAUAUCAGCCAAUUGUUGUUUAUGUUUUUGAAAAAUCGUCCAUCUAAUCAAUUUGUUUAUUACCUUGAUUUGAGUGUCUUGAUGAGCGACUCUCGUAAAAGCGCCAAGACCCAUAGCCUUCACCACUCCCUUCUUCUCAAGGGCCAGCAUUAUGCCAUUCACCGCAUCAGGCUCCCAAUUGUACUCCCUAAAUGCCAUAACGCGUCGUUUAAAGAUAACAACCUCAAUUUCAAUAUGUUUUGGGGAAUGAUAAACUCACUUUGCCAUGUCCUCCACAUUAACUGGAUUCGGGUAGGCGGAUUCUAUCAGCUCCAAUACCUUCUCAGACGUCAAUUCUACUGUCUGUCCAAUGACUGUCUCAUCAAUGGACACUAAAAGAAUCAUCGCGAAGAUGAAGAUUAAUUAAUUGCUUGCUUAGGAAAAAAAUUGACGAGCUUCUGUUAAUUCAUGGAACAACGUGAAUAGUGAUAUUUUAUAAUUAGUGUCUGGAAAGGGAUCUUAUGGUAGUCAUCCAUGCCUAGUCUUGAUAACAGGGGCAGUGUGUCAGUUAUCGAUUAUUCAAAUUCGUAAGAAACGCAAAUUCCAAGCAACAAUCCUUAUUAAAUCAAUGUUGUUAUGGUAACAUAUCUGCAACUGUUGAAAUCCAUAAAAUAUUGAGUGUCAUUAAAUUGUCAAAAAGUCCACUAAACACGAAUACAGCCAUGAGCCAUGAAAAAUAUGGAACAACUAGUGAAUAAGAUUUGUUUCAUUAAAAAAAUCUACAGAAAAAAUUUCUCAACUGUGCUUUUGUCUAGAUUUUCGGUUACUUUGCGUGCAAUCGUGUUCAACUCUUCCUUUAAUUGACGUCAAAUUAAAGGAAAAUUAUUUAUGUCUAUUUUUAAACAACAUUUGGUUGAUUUAUUACAGGGCUUUUCAAUAUCUAACAGCCUGUGAGAACAAAAAAUCAAAACUAUUGAGAAUUGAUAAAAAAAGUUGCAGAGCAAAUGUGAAGAUUUCUUUUUCCUAAGUCGAACCUGAUAUCCGAACACUUUUCUUUCUUGGUAGAGUGUACAGACAGUUGCCACUUCGAGCUGUGAAUAAUGCAAGACAAACGAUUUUAUAACAUUUUCAAAAAUAAAAGAAAUAUACAUUAAUGAUAACUAUCCGGCAAAUCACAUUUGCCAAUUGACAGUUACUUGCGACAACGACACUAAUUUAAUUGUCCUUUGACCCCUCCCCCCUGCCUUCAAUUACUUGGACUUGAACCAAUUUGAGAUGAACGUUAUAAUGCGGGUGAUAAAUUGAGUGUCAUUUACAUGGUCUGGUUGGUAAAGUGAUCGGUUCCUCCAGCUGUUUGAGCUCUACCUCCAGUUUCUUUAUGUUUGGAUACUUGUGCUGCAUCAGUUUCAUUAUUUUCUUGAUGAAGCCGACGUAAUCUGUUGGAUGAAUUCAAUUACAUUAUUUUUUAGGUUCCCCCGAGAUCUAUUUUCUUUCAACAACUUUGAUAAAUUUAUUUGAUGCUAAUGCGAUUCAUUAUUUCAACAGUAUUUUUGUCGUCUUUUCAAUGACGUAGUUAAAUUCCAAUAAUUCGACGAUUUCCCUGUGACUCUAAUCAAUUUUCCUCAAUUUACAAUUUUCUUCGCCAUCAGGUAGUAAACUCCGGGAAAUUGUCAUUUGCGGAUAAAAAAUAUAAAUUCGCGGGAAAACUGGCAGAUUCCUUCCAAUCAAAACGUACCUCUGGGAAACUCCUGAGGACUCACUAGCUCCCUGAAAAAUUCCUGUGCCACAUGAGGCUGUUCGACCUCGGCUAAUGAAUUAACAAACCAGAACUGGAGUCUCCUGGACUCCUGGGUAUGUUUCUUGGUCUGUGCACUGACCAGAAAGACUCGAAAUUCGAGACCGAGUUGGGCAGGCCUCGACAUCCCAUUCGCUGCAUGAAAUCAUCAAUGAAUUUCCCCAUUAAAAAAUUAAUCCGAAAUAAAUCUUAAGAAAUAACUACCUGCAGCUGCAUGUUUAUUGAUGACAAUGCCCUUGUGAUCGCCUCCUGCCACAUGGACGUCUCCCUGAGUCUUCUCAGGAAGACGAUCCACCUUCUGUCUCUCGAUAAUCAACGUCGUUGAAUUAGCAGUCUUGCAUUUCGGUGUCAUCACAAUGUGUUCUACAAAAUCAAAUCUUCAAAUCAUGAUGUUGAAUUUUUCGUUAACUCGUUUUAACUACCGAGAUAAAAACUAUAAACCCCUGGGACCGAACUAUGGUAUGAAAAAAAAUAAAAGUCGGGUUCUAGAAGCUGAACUCACUUAUAAUUAAAAAUGAGCAAUUAUCCACAAAUUUAAAGACUAAUAAAAAAGUAGGGAACUUUCAAUUCUUUGUGCAAACUUCCUUUAAAUUAUUUAGCAACAAUUUGUUCCAAUACCCGAUUUUAUAGUCAACAUCAGAACUUUCACUUUCGCCAGUCUGGACUUUAACUUUUCAGGAACUUGACCAUAAUUUUACAUUUAAAUUUGACAGAUAGAAAUUGAAAAUUCAAUAUUGAGAAAAGAGGUUCCUGCAAAUGAUCCUGGGACAUAUUCAUGUCAUGAUCAAAGUCAUCAAUUGAGCCUUUAUCCGAUGAUGCACACAAGAGUCCGAUGAUGACACCCAUGUGUUCACUCACAUCAACUGUUUGCCAUUGAAAAAUGAUAAUGACUCAGAAACGUGACGUUAUUCAGUCCCGAUAAAGGUGAGCAGAUUACCUCGAGCACAAAAUAAAAGCAAAAAAUAUUCACCAUAAUUUCCCGCUAGAACUCCCUGAAUUAUUCAGAACUAGGUCAACUCACCAUCAGUCUUUGCGUCAUCCAUGUUUCCAGAAUCCCUGGACCAGACACGGUAAAUUUCGAUAAAUAAACUGUCAAUCGUAUAAUUUAGUAAACGUGUGCUUCACACUCGUCACGAACAAACACUGACGGAUUUAUCAGGAACGGCCGGCGCGCUACGGCUUGACUGAACUCCCCUCCGUUUGUCAGCCCACGCUUCCACCAUCCACUCCUCGAAAACCUUCUACUGGCACUUUCCUUUUUUUACUGUCUAUUGGUUGCAACGUUGACCGCAGGGGGCGCAUUACGUCGCAGAAGCCCCGCGCGCCCGUUCAUAUUACCCACCCCCGGGGGCAAUGAACGUGCCGGUUUAAUUGGGACAUGAUCCCCUGAAUUCGCUACUGAUGAUUAUCCGCACCUUCGCACGUUAUUUUUACCGUUCCAUUAGGGGCUUCCGAAAUUAAAAAAAAUUUCAACCACCGUUUUGUCACAGAGAUGACGUUCAACGCAACGAAACGGAAAAUGCGGAGUUUCCCCUCUAAAUGAUAACAUUAAUCAUAAUGAUAAAUAUUUGCAGAAGAACGCAGAUAAUCUCGGAUCAAUUUUCUUAAAAGAAAACCGCAGCGAAGCGGUACAACCGCUCCGGUCGAUCCUAACUAUUGGUCAGUUUUUCAAAAGUCUUCUUGUGGGUUUCAAUUCAUUCAAUUACAAUCGUCAAAACAACAUCAAAAACGUGAAAUCACCUUUGGAUUUACAACUGCUUUUAUUACUCAUUAAAUGUUUUUUCUUUCAUUCCAGAGGUAAUGAUUUCCCUUCAUUUUCGUUGAUAUGCACGAUUAACUUGAAUUGUUAUGGCCAAAAUAACAAUCGAUCCGUGAAUCACGAGUCAGAACGGGGAAAUAAAACAGUUGAAUAGCCCAGCGAUUUAUUUAAAUGUGACGGGUCUGGUGGUUUUUUUUCCAAAGUUGAUGACGUCAUGUGGGUUAUUUAUGUUGUUGAAUGUGAUAUCACUGGAAUUUUCACUCCUCGGAAAUUGACUCAUAAUGGAAUAUCAUUUCUCUUUUAUUGUAAUUAAUGUUUUAAUUUGGAUGAAUUUCUAUUAGAUGGGAGGGCGGGGGAGAGAGGAAGGGGAAUGUAGUCUUUUUUGGGAGUCGUUCCUUAGUCAUGGGAUUUACGGGUCUAUAGUCAUCGUGGACUUUCUAGUUCCAGUUAUGAGAAAAUAGAAACACGAGAAAAAUACUGCAUAAAGGACUUUAUUAUUUUGAGGCUUUUACUUUUUUUUAGGGAAUUUUCUGAUUAAUAAAUAAACAUGAACUUGCAAAUAGGACUGAGGACGAGUAAUAUAUUAUAUCAGGGACUUUCUCUCAAAUAUUUGGGUUGAACAGUUUCGAUAUUUUUUAAAAUUUCAAGUCCAGAGACAAAACUAUUUUACAAUUAUUUAUAGUUGCGAUUAUUUUAUGAAUCCUCGAUUAUGCAGCGCUAGCGAGUAAAAAAGACAAUUUUAAUUCAAUAUAAUCUCAAUUAUUUACACAAUAAGCAUGAAAAAUUAUUAAUAUUCAUUUUCUAUUCUUCGAACGAAUAAUCAACAAACGAUUGAGAACAUAUGCAAAAACCGGCUGGACAAAAUUUUUAAAAACCUCAAGACGGACAAAAAUCUUGAAAGAAAGAUGAAACUAAUACUCUGCCGGCACAAAUAAUCACUUUGACAUGUUGCAUACCAGGACAACUAAUAAAAAUUCGCUUGAAAUGGCAAUCUCCCCUUGAUUUAUCUGAUCGGCACUGAAGAGAUAGACGACAUUGAAGUGAGACUCGAUGGUCCAGAGCUCAAAUUGAGUUUAUCAAGUUCCUCAUCUGCUUUAUUAUUCUUCAAAUCCUGCUGUGUAUACAGGAACUUGUUCCACUCGUCCCCGCGUGGAUGAGCAAGAUUUUCAGCGACAUCGUAAACCCAAAUUUUUCCGGAAUCAUCACCAACAGUGACAUGCAAUCCACUGGGUGUCCAUGACACUCGAUUCAAUGCUGGUGCUCCAUCGACGACGACACUGGCUGUUGGCACCUCGGUAUCCUGAUUUAAAUUCCACAGAUCCAGAUGUCCUGAAUCAUCAACAGCUGCAAAUAGUGCGGGAUGAGUGGGUGACCAGGCGACAUCGUAAACAUAAUCUCCAUUGUGCUCGAAGGAAUGCAACGCUUUGUUCUCCUUGAGACUCCAUAGCUUUAUAGUCCAGUCGAUGGAGGAUGUGAGGAACAAAUGGGAGAAGUCAAUGCCCCCUUGGACAGCAUGCGCACUGACCGAUGUCACUGGGCCCUGAUGACCCUCGUAUGUCUCAGUGACACCAGCACGAAUGCCAUGACGACAGGCUGAGUAAACAGUACCGUCUUCACUACCAACGACGAAAUUAUUAACAUCUCCAUGAGGAAAUGCCAGACACGUGACAGCUAUUGGCUUUGACUGCUUCGCUUGGAGAUCAAGGGUCUCCUGGGGUUGGGAGAGCAUGUCUAGACUCCAGGAGCACAUUUUGCCAUCUGUGGAGAUGCUUAUAAGAUUGUGGGCAUUCUGGGUCCCCACAACGUUCAGACAAUAGACUGGAUGUGUAUGGGCACUAGCUGACAGGGGAGUUCGUUGAAUUGGGGUGCGUUUUUGAACGCGAUUAUCCCACAGGACUAUUUGACCGGCGUAGGUACCACCGAGAAUUAAAUUCGGAUGGAAACGUGCGAAUGUUGUUGACAUCACUGGUGACUGACAGUGAAAGAUGAAUUCAGGAGUGGUUUUCUUGAAUUUUGUAUUCCAUAUUAGACAGAUGCCGUCUGGAUCGUUGGGGGCAUCAUCGUUGUGGUGGUAGGAGGCUGCUAGGAGCUCCGGAAACUGGGGGGACCAGUCCAGGGAAGUCACACAGCGAUUGCGAGACCAACGCUCGUCGUAGAAUGAGCGGUUCAGCCAGAGGCGCUGGUGACUCUUCUCGUCCCUUUGAAGUGAUGAAGAAUUUGGGGGUGAGUUUAUCGUUUAUUGUUAUAUAGAUAAAUUCUAUAGAUAAAUUAUCAACUUAUUCAAUAUUUAUAGACUAUAAAAAAUUGAAAAUUUAUGCGUUUCAUCAUAAGUUCAGAGCGAUCAGAACUGGAGUUACAGAAAAAAAAGUAAAAAGCAAAAUCUUCAGUUCAUAUGAAGUAUUCACUUACAUUCCUUCAUCCCCAUCCAGCGUUCCAGUGUAAUCAGCAUAGAUAUUAACAGAUUCAGCUAAUGCCCUCUCAACAAUUCUACUAGUUCUAUCCAAAAAUUUCUGAAAGUCCUCGGAGAGUAUCAACAUUUGUUUCUCUUCUUCGCUCAAUUCUCGGACUGCAAUUAGUCGACCAAACAGAAUAAAUUCCCAUUAGUGAAUAAUUUCCAAGUGAUCUAUUUCAGUGGAGCAUUACCUUCUUUGGGCGCCUCUUCCUUUGACUGCUGUUCGACCUGAGUGACAGCGGGCUGGACUUCUUUCACCUGUGGCAGGCCAUGUGAUAGAAUACCCGGUGGUAGCUUGCUUUGGAAACCAUCCAUGUGAGGAAGACUGUUCUCCUCAUCUUCGGCUUGGCCAUCAUCAUAUGUCAAAACUGUGGUGAAUAAGCUAGUCCCGAAUAUCUAUUCCCUAAUUCUACUCAAUAUUCUUCACGUUUUCGAGAUAUACAUGUUUUUUUUUUCAUUGCCGAUGCCAAUAAUCGAAUCUAUCCUCAAAUUAUUCAGAGUAAUUUAUCCUAAUCGAAUGGCUCUACUGCACUAGAUCUAGAGCGCUCAAUUUACAUGCUGCUCUGAAUAAAAAUGGUAAAACAAAAUGUAAUGGCAUGCAUGCAAUGGGCGUUAGUCACGCGAUCAAAAUAUAAUUCAACAUUUUUCGUCGAUGUCUCUCCACCCUCCUGACAUGCUUCAACUCAAUGUAUCGAUUACACAUGGAGAUAAAUGUGAGGCUCAAACUAGCGGAACACUUGAUUUAGCUAAUCUACUGAUGUAAAAAUGGUUUUACGUCUUCAGAAAAUUGACUGACGUCCAGUUAAAGAAAAUAUGAAAUACGAAUGUUACGAUAAUUCUGGGGUAUUUCGGCCGAGGAACAAUCGUAUCGGACAUUUCAGCUCAUCCUCUUGAGAAUUGACGGUAAUUUUUUUUUCUCUGUAACUAGGGACCUGCCAGAAUGAUCUCCGUUUUUCUUUCAAUUUUAUCGACAGUCCGCUUUUGAGAUAUGAUUUAUUGUCACGUGCACGGAUAAACCGCUAUUUCAACCUUGCUUCGCAUGGUUAAAUUGCAGCUUCCGGGCUCCGUGACAAAAAAUUCAAUUCGAUGCAGAGCCGUGAAGGAUUUUUCAAACUCAUGUUCGCCGGAAAAAUUCCUCGUAGCGUGAAGGCUCAAAAAAUGUCAAACAAACGUAACAUUUUAUUGUAUUGACCUAGAGCGGGUUAUCUAUAAUCUAUUUGCAUUACUCUGCAUGGGCAUGAUUUCGAGUUCCACUUCCGGUUUAAUUCGGUUCUUAGAUAUGGGCCGAAUAGGAGAAAAAAAUUACCAUCGAUUCCUAAAAGAGGAUAACUCAAUUUUUUUUGCAACUCCUUUCGUACAAAAAAUUCUCGAAAAAAUGCGAUUUUUUUCUGGAUUUAAAAACAAGGACAUUAAUAUUUGCAGGGGUAAAUGAACAACAUGAUUAUUUGAUCAUGUGUUAUAUCUUGAUAAUCAUUGGCCAGUUGGAUAGAGGCUUAAAUUCUCGUGAAUUCCCUGAACAAUUUUUUUUCUUGUUGAGUAUUCCGCCAGUUUCAGCUCCAUUUCGAAAAUAAUAUCGUAAAAAAUAUGAAUAAAUGAACGCAACUUCCUGAGUCUCAUGCACAGUGAGGAAAUGGAAAAGUAAAAAAGUCUAGUAGACAAAGUAAUUCAAUGAAAAAAUAAUACAGUCAUGCGAGUCGAACAGGUGCACCCUGAUAAAUUCACAGGUAAGUCGAACGGGCCAGCGUACGAAUAUCAUCAUCAUGACAAAGGUGUACGCAUGGCAAAAUUUUCAAUAACGUCUCUGUGUGCAAAAAUUAAUUACGGGUUGCAAGAGCACUUAGAAGCCUUUUCAUGAUCCUCAACGAGCAUAUUUUCAGUGAUUUUACGGAGCCUGACAUAAUUUACAUGUAGAAAAAAAAAUUCAAUGCAAUUGUGAACAACUACUUUGAACUGAAAGUUAAAUCGUAAAAAAAGACACCGAAAAUCGACUGCCGGGCUCGUGGUGAACGUGUGGAUAAAGUGAAGCUUUGGAGGAUGCUCGUGACAACAAAAAAAUAUACAGUAACAUUGUAAAUUUAGGGUUCACCUUCUGAGAGUUGAUCACCUACCUGUGAAUUCGUCCUCCCACUCUAAACCAGGAUUUAGAUUGUACUCGUCUUGAAGGAGGGAAAAGAAAAUGUCAAUCAAUUUCGUAUCCUUUUCACGUUUACGUUUCAAUAUUCUCGAUGAAUAAUCAUUGACAUACUCAGGGUCAAUAAUAAUUCAAUUGAGUCUGAAGCGUUUCGUCAGUUAUUCAGUGAGUUUUGUAGUUUAAUAAUCUAAUCACAUGCAAUUAUGCACUCUGCCCUGUUGCUGUUUUGUUGUUAAUUUAUUAAAUCAGCCUCUAUUUGUUUAAUCAUCAUCAGUAGUAAGCAUGUAUGCUUGUUCGAUAGAGUAAACAAUUCACAAUAGUCAGAAUACCUCUUUUUGUGAAUAAAUUAUUCAAGAUAUCUCAUAUAAGCGUUAAGGAUAUCCAAUCAGUUUGGCUAUUUGUUUGUUUCUCCAGUGAAAUAUUUUUCUAGAUUUGUGGGCGAACAUGAGAGCAUUCUAAGUCCCAUAAGACCCUAAAAUUUAGUCAAAUUUACUUUAAAUUUCAAUCUCAAUAUUAAAUACUUGAAAAAAAAAAUUUUUAAUUAAGAAGAUAGAAAAAAUUGUCUUUCGAGGCGAAUUGAUGGAAUAAUUCAAACAAUUCAAUUGAUGAAAGGCGCGAGAAUCUUCUGUGGAUAGUUUAUAAAUAAUUAAUUUGCGACUGAAACUUAUUCUAUAGCUACAAAUUAUUUGAUUGGAUAAGUAACGGAUUGCUCCAUAUUCAGAACUUUACCAAAAAUCAAAUUCAUGCCUAAAAAAAUGAGUUAUCCGAAAGUUAAAUCUAUUUCAAUUAUUUACAAACGAAAAAAACGUUAAAUAAAAUCGUAAUACUGUGUAAAAUGUAACUGUAACUUGGAUAUCCUUAAAUAUUAAUUUCGGCACCGUCUACUGUAUUAAUUCAUUAUUGCACAAUUGCUAUUCUGGGUUUUGGAUUAAUUAAACACCUUCAAAUCAGUUAAUUGAAUCUAUAAUUGAACUCACAAUGAAUGUGAAUAUCAUUUAGAGAACUCUGGAAGGUGCGUUAAGUUGUGACAAGAUUAACUCAAUUAUUUACUUAUCCCCUGCUGCAAUUUAUUUGCAUGCAGUAUUCCAUUGUCCUUUUCUUCAUUAAUAUUCACUCAGUUUUGAUAGAUCGUGCGACCAAAGUUGACCCCAAAGAUUUUGAAAAUCGUGCACUGCCUUUAUUUCAGUUGUAGAAAAUUGACAAAACGAGCUGAAGAUAUUUUUUCAUUUCAACUUCAAUCAUCGUCGAUCAUUUUUACGUGUUAAAAUAUUCGAUAACUGAUUCGAUGGGAAAAAAUACUCAUUUCGUUUUGACAUUUCCAUAUCAAUUCCGUUGGAAGAUAAGGGCCAGAGAAAGAGAGAGAACAGUAGGCGAUAGAAAUUAUUCCACCGGGUGGAGAGUGAGAUUUUAUCUCGAAUUUUCAAUGAUAUCAUUGUCCUAUUGCUCAUUAUUGUUCAUGAAUUUUGUUGUUGACACCGAUUGACGAUCUCUUGUACUAAUAUAUGAUGAGUUUAAACUCAAUACAAACCAAGGGAAAUCAUAACUUACCGUAAUAGUCGAAUGCAUGAGCUGAGGGGAGGGGAAAAGAGGAAAAAAUAGUCACUUAGUUGUUUUUUUCAUCUUCAGAGUAGAUAAGUGGAAAAUAUCUCAGCUAAUUUCAAGAUACCUCCCUACACUCAGAGCAUGACUUUUGCGGCAUUUGUUUAAGCACGUGAUUAAAAAAUUAUAUUAAUAUUAUUGAUUAAUACUGUGUUGCUCUGUCUCUUCUUUUCAUAUGUAUUGUUUUUCAAGUGAAAAAAAAAAUUACUAGGUGUUCAUCACAUACACUGAAUGUAGUUAGGUGUGAUUCUUAAUUAAUCGUGUAGUCUUUUUUUACUGCGCGUUAGAGGAAACAUACAUAUUCAUAGCUAUAGUAUUCUACGCAUAAAUAAAAUGCAGUGCGUCGUGCAUUGUUCAACUUUUAUGAGCCCUCGGGAUGUUAACGAGUAACAGACGGCCACGAAAAAAAUUUCCAAGUUAUUACUAUUUUUAUAACUUAUAUUUUCAUCAUUUUUAUUUCGUAUAUCCAAAGCGAAUUGAUCCUCAUCUUCAACUCGGGGAAAUUAAUGUGUUUCGAGGAAUAAAAAUACUGGCAAGUUUCGAUAGAUUUAUUAAAAAAUUUGAAAAAUUACCGGCGUUCUGUUACCCCUUAAUAAAAACUAGUAAAGUACAAAAAAAACUUUGCGAGAUGAAUUUUCACCCAAGAGGAAAUGGAAAAAUAUGAACAAUGAAGAAUGGCUGAAAAAAAUUGUUCAUUCUUGUGGAAUCGGAUGGAACGAUUUGAAGAAUGUGUGCAAAUGUCAUUUGGUGAAAAAUGUUUCUGAAAGCCAAAGACAUGGAUAACAUUUGCGGCGGUAAUCACCGGCUAUUGUUAAACAAUUUUUCAAAUAACUCGUUUCUAUGCGAUAAUUUCCAAUUCGUUCCAUUCAAUUUCUGGAGAAUAAUCAAAUUUUUUCAGCUAUCUUCUAGAUUUUUUCAUCUCCCUUUAGCUGACAAUUGAUGGAGCUAAGUUUUCACGGCAUCUCUGUAGUUUUUAUAACCCCUGAUACCGCUUUAAUCUUAAAUUAAUCAAUUUUAUCCUCACACGAGGCUCGACUCUCGUCAAUAUCGAAAUAUCAAUAAUUUCAGAUGAAUAAUUUAUACCAUGCCUUGUCACACUUAUGCCCCACCCCCCUAAAGUCUCGCUACAAUAUUUCACUAUCAUUUGUUACUGGUUUAUCAUAUCAGCGUGUGAUAAACGUUUCUCCAAGUUAUUUGUAUUAAAUUAGUUAUCAUAAGCGACGAUUGAUAGUUGUUAGUGAGGAUAAUUUGUUAAUCAGAAAAUUCCCACUGUUAGUAUCACUCCCCUUAAAAUCUCUAGUUAUUUUAUUCUAUGCUCAGCUCGACUAAAAUAAGCUCCAGAUGUGUAAGCUCCAAGAGUUGUUCUCGUCUCUCAUAUGUAUUUGUCAAAAACAAUUUCUUGAAAAGUGUGGAGUAAAGUGUAAGCCUUUGUAAUUAUCCAACUAAUUCUGGAAUAUUAUUAAAUAUAAAUUUAUUGAAACUGUGUGGAGCUAUUGGAUAAUCAUCCAGAAUAAGUGGAUAAAUAAUAAAAAGCACAUAAGCAGUAACAUAUUUGCUUCAAUAAUUCUCCACAUCCCUCAAAAACUCUUUUUCAUAUCUACCGAUAAACAGUUAACGAGAGGAUAUUUAAGAACAAAAAAAAUUAGACAAAACAUACAUAGGUAGUUUGGUGCAGACCCACCUUUCCUGGGACGCCACCAGUCAGUCUCAAAGUAGCCUGCGGAGCAAGAGUGAGUUGGUGACGUUGUCGUACAGUAGGAGUAGAUCGUGUUUGCGGAAGAGGAGGCGGAUAGUCCUUUAUUUAUUAUUUUUUAUUUGUGUUUUCCGUUAUUACCACACCAGGGCCAUUGUUAGAAAAUAACCGCAAUAUCAGUCGGAUUGCUUCAUUGAUUAGAUUAAAAAUUAAGAGGGUUAAUAGGGUUCAGGAAUUAUCACUAAGGUAUUUUUAUCAAUAUCGAAGUGGGCCAUUUUUGUUCAUGAUCUACGAUCCUCUUGAAAUAUUUUCAAGUCCAUGGUUGACUUAGUAAAAUGCGUAAAAAAUAUCACGUCCAUCUUUUAAUGCAAAGAAUAAUAUUUAUAACAGAUUCCAGCUAUAGGAAAAAAUUCCAAGAAUGCAGUCAAUUAAAUCAUUUACAUUUUUUUAAGAAACCCACAGGGAUUAGUUUUUGAGUGCGAUUGUCUUUGGAUAUACCUUCAGCAGUGGAAUGUGGAAAAUUAGAUUUUGUGAAGGAUUAACCGACUAAAAUUGCGGUUGGGGGAUUUUCCUGUACCAAAUACCAAGUGUUUCUCCUCAAACUAGAGUGUAAUUUGUGUGGUGAAGUUGAACAAGGAGAUGAUUAUACUUCGAACAUGAAUUGCUAUUUUUGUAAAAGUGAUUAACAUAUGUAUACGAAUAGUUUCAUCUUCUUAUUCUAGAUAAAUACAAGCCACAGGCCCCACUAAAUGAAAUCACCAGAAAUGAAUGAUCAAAUGAAGAAAAUAUAAUGAAAAACAAAUUUGAUGAUCAUGCAAUGAUUAUUAACGAAAACAAAUGGUAAAGAAACUUCUGCAUGAGGUAUUGUGACUCCAUGAAUGGCGAACGAUUCGACUGGACGAAUGGAACCACGAGUCAAUGGAACUAAAUAAAAUGAUAGUAAAUCAGAGUGCAUAGAAGUCCAUUCGGUGCACAAAUAAAAACCCACGAUUUAUCGUAAUCGAAGAGCUAGUUAUAAUUAUUCACGUGUGAAUAUAUGGUGGGUUUUUAUGAAAAUAUGACUCACCGUCGUGCGACGUUUGGGCUGUUUGCGCUGUUUGGGUCUGCUUACUGUACACCACUGGCUCUUUUGGCGGAAUAUUUGUGUGGGCCACUGAGACGACUGUUAAUU